rnacentral:rRNA from 1 species
AACGAACGCUGGCGGCAUGCCUAACACAUGCAAGUCGAACGAGACCUUCGGGUCUAGUGGCGCACGGGUGCGUAACGCGUGGGAACCUGCCCUUAGGUUCGGAAUAACUCCCCGAAAGGGGUGCUAAUACCGGAUAAUGUCUUCGGACCAAAGAUUUAUCGCCUUUGGAUGGGCCCGCGUUGGAUUAGCUAGUUGGUAGGGUAAAAGCCUACCAAGGCGACGAUGCAUAGCUGGUCUGAGAGGAUGAUCAGCCACACUGGGACUGAGACACGGCCCAGACUCCUACGGGAGGCAGCAGUGGGGAAUAUUGGACAAUGGGCGAAAGCCUGAUCCAGCAAUGCCGCGUGAGUGAUGAAUGCCUUAGGGUUGUAAAGCUCUUUUACCCGGGAUGAUAAUGACAGUACCGGGAGAAUAAGCUCCGGCUAACUCCGUG